UGAGGAAUAUUGGACAAUGGGCGCAAGCCUGAUCCAGCCAUGCCGCGUGCAGGAAGACGGUCCUAUGGAUUGUAAACUGCUUUUAUACAGGAAGAAACACACCCUCGUGAGGGUACUUGACGGUACUGUAAGAAUAAGGAUCGGCUAACUCCGUGCCAGCAGCCGCGGUAAUACGGAGGAUCCAAGCGUUAUCCGGAAUCAUUGGGUUUAAAGGGUCCGUAGGCGGUUUAAUAAGUCAGUGGUGAAAGCCCAUCGCUCAACGAUGGAACGGCCAUUGAUACUGUUAGACUUGAAUUAUUGGGAAGUAACUAGAAUAUGUAGUGUAGCGGUGAAAUGCUUAGAUAUUACAUGGAAUACCAAUUGCGAAGGCAGGUUACUACCAAUUUAUUGACGCUGAUGGACGAAGGCGUGGGGAGCGAACAGGAUUAGAUACCCUGGUAGUCCACGCCGUAAACGAUGGAUACUAGCUGUUGGGAGCAAUCUCAGUGGCUAAGCGAAAGUGAUAAGUAUCCCACCUGGGGAGUACGUUCGCAAGAAUG
rnacentral:rRNA from 1 species